UACGUAGGGUGCAAGCGUUGUUCGGAAUUAUUGGGCGUAAAGCGCGUGUAGGUGGCUAGUUAAGUUGGAUGUGAAAUCCCUGGGCUCAACCGAGGAAGUGCAUUCAAAACUGGCUGGCUAGAAGAUAGUAGAGGAAGGUGGAAUUCCAAGUGUAGAGGUGAAAUUCGUAGAUAUUUGGAGGAAUACCGGCGGCGAAGGCGGCCUUCUGGGCUAUUCUUGACACUGAGACGCGAAAGCGUGGGGAGCAAACAGG
rnacentral:rRNA from 1 species